UAAGCUCCGCACGGAAUGAUUUUUCUGAGCACGUGGCCGUCACAGGGCUGACGUAACACCAGCUGCCAUUGUGGAUAGCAUCCAGGUUGGUAGCACCGGUGU
rnacentral:sRNA from 1 species